rnacentral:rRNA from 1 species
AUUGAACGCUGGCGGCAGGCUUAAUACAUGCAAGUCGAGGGGGCAGCAAUGUCACCGGCGGACGGGUGCGUAACGCGUAUGAAACCUACCUUUAUCAGGGGGAUAGCCCGGGGAAACCCGGAUUAAUACCGCAUAAUAUAGAUUAAGGCAUCUUAGUUUAUUGAAAGAUUUAUCGGAUAGAGAUGGUCAUGCGUAGGAUUAGCUAGUUGGUAAGGUAACGGCUUACCAAGGCGACGAUCCUUAGGGGCUCUGAGAGGAGUAACCCCCACACUAGCACUGAGAUACGGGCCAGACUCCUACGGGAGGCAGCAGUAGGGAAUAUUGGGCAAUGGGCGAGAGCCUGACCCAGCCAUGCCGCGUGCAGGAAGACGGCCCUCUGGGUUAUAAACUGCUUUUGAAUGGGAAGAACGGUAGGCCUGCGGGCUUAAUUGACGGUACCAUUAGAAUAAGCCACGGCUAACUACGUGCCAGCAGCCGCGGUAACAC